CCUACGGGAGGCAGCAGUGGGGAAUAUUGGGCAAUGGGCGCAAGCCUGACCCAGCAACGCCGCGUGAAGGAAGAAGGCUUUCGGGUUGUAAACUUCUUUUCUCAGGGACGAAGAAAGUGACGGUACCUGAGGAAUAAGCCACGGCUAACUACGUGCCAGCAGCCGCGGUAAUACGUAGGUGGCAAGCGUUAUCCGGAUUUACUGGGUGUAAAGGGCGUGUAGGCGGGGAAGCAAGUCAGAUGUGAAAACCACGGGCUCAACCUGUGGCCUGCAUUUGAAACUGUUUUUCUUGAGUACUGGAGAGGCAGACGGAAUGCCUAGUGUAGCGGUGAAAUGCGUAGAGAGUAGGAGGAACACCAGUGGCGAAGGCGGUCUGCUGGACAGCAACUGACGCUGAGGCGCGAAAGCGUGGGGAGCAAACAGGAUUAGAUACCCUUGUAGUC
rnacentral:rRNA from 1 species